rnacentral:rRNA from 1 species
AGCAGCCGCGGUAAUUCCAGCUCCAAUAGCGUAUAUUAAAGUUGCUGCAGUUAAAAAGCUCGUAGUUGAAUUUCGGGAUCAGAUUGUCGGUCGUGCCUCGGUACGCACUGGCAUUAUUGGUUCCUACCUUCUGAAGAACCGCGAUGUCAUUAAUUUGGUGUCGUGGGGAAUCAGGACUGUUACUUUGAAAAAUUAGAGUGUUUAAAGCAGGCGCACGCUUGAAUACAUUAGCAUGGAAUAAUGAAAUAGGACGUUUGAUUCUAUUUUGUUGGUUUCUAGGAUCAACGUAAUGAUUAAUAGGGAUAGGUUGGGGGCAUUAGUAUUCAAUUGUCAGAGGUGAAAUUCUUGGAUUUUAUUGAAGACUAACUACUGCGAAAGCAUUUGCCAAGGAUGUUUUCAUUAAUCAAGAACGAAAGUUAGGGGAUCGAAGACGAUCAGAUACCGUCGUAGUCUUAACCAUAAAACUAUGCCGACUAGGGAUCGGAUGAUGUUAA